rnacentral:rRNA from 2 species
GUGGAGUGCUUGGAAGUGAGAAUGCCGGUAUGAGUAGCGAAAAGAUAGGUGAGAAUCCUAUCCGUCGAAAGCCCAAGGUUUCCUGAGGAAGGCUCGUCCGCUCAGGGUUAGUCGGGACCUAAGCCGAGGCCGAAAGGCGUAGGCGAUGGACAACAGGUUGAUAUUCCUGUACCACCUCGUAUUCGUUUGAACGAUGGGGGGACGCAGAAAGGUAGGGUGAGCGCGCCGCUGGCUGUGCGCGUCGAAGCAUGCGAGGCUGGAACAUAGGCAAAUCCGUGUUCCAUAAGGCUGAGCUGUGACCGUGAAGGACCUUCGGGUCCGAAAUCCCUGAUCCUCCGCUGCCGAGAAAAGCCUCUAGUGAGAAUACAGGUGCCCGUACCGCAAACCGACACAGGUAGGCGAGAAGAGAAUUCUAAGACGCUCGGGAGAACUCUCGUUAAGGAACUCGGCAAAAUGACCCCGUAACUUCGGGAGAAGGGGUGCUCUAGUAGGGUUAACCGCCCGAGAGAGCCGCAGUGAAAGGAUCCAAGCGACUGUUUAGCAAAAACACAGGUCUCUGCGAAGCCGUAAGGCGAAGUAUAGGGGCUGACACCUGCCCGGUGCUGGAAGGUUAAGAGGAAGGGUCAUCCCUUACGGGAGAAGCUCUGAAUUGAAGCCCCAGUAAACGGCGGCCGUAACUAUAACGGUCCUAAGGUAGCGAAAUUCCUUGUCGGGUAAGUUCCGACCCGCACGAAUGGUGCAACGACUUGGAUACUGUCUCAACGAGAGACCCGGUGAAAUUAUAGUACCUGUGAAGAUGCAGGUUACCCGCGACAGGACGGAAAGACCCCAUGGAGCUUUACUGUAGCUUGAUAGUGAGUGUUGGUAUCAUCUGUACAGGAUAGGUAGGAGCCUUGGAAACCGGAGCGCUAGCUUCGGUGGAGGCGUCGGUGGGAUACUACCCUGAUGGUGCUGGCAUUCUAACCUCGACCCGUGAUCCGGGCCAGGGACAUUGUCAGGUGGGCAGUUUGACUGGGGCGGUCGCCUCCUAAACAGUAACGGAGGCGCCCAAAGGUUCCCUCAGAAUGGUUGGAAAUCAUUCGUAGAGUGCAAAGGCAGAAGGGAGCUUGACUGCGAGACCUACAAGUCGAGCAGGGACGAAAGUCGGGCUUAGUGAUCCGGCGGUGCCGUAUGGAAGGGCCGUCGCUCAACGGAUAAAAGCUACCCUGGGGAUAACAGGCUUAUCUCCCCCAAGAGUCCACAUCGACGGGGAGGUUUGGCACCUCGAUGUCGGCUCGUCGCAUCCUGGGGCUGAAGUAGGUCCCAAGGGUUGGGCUGUUCGCCCAUUAAAGCGGCACGCGAGCUGGGUUCAGAACGUCGUGAGACAGUUCGGUCCCUAUCCGUCGCGGGCGUAGGAAAUUUGAGAGGAGCUGUCCUUAGUACGAGAGGACCGGGAUGGACAUACCGCUGGUGUACCAGUUGUUCCGCCAGGAGCAUCGCUGGGUAGCUACGUAUGGACGGGAUAAGUGCUGAAAGCAUCUAAGCAUGAAGCCCCCCUCAAGAUGAGAUUUCCCAUGGCGUAAGCCAGUAAGACCCCUUAGAGAUGAUGAGGUUGAUAGGUCAGAAGUGGAAGCGUGGCGACACGUGGAGCGGACUGAUACUAAUCGGUCGAGGACUUAUCCUAU